CCUUCGAUAGCUCAGUUGGUAGAGCUGGAGGACUGUAGAUCCUUAGGUUCGCUGGUUCAAAUCCGGCUCGAAGGA